GAAUUUUGAAUAUGUUUGUCCCCAAGUUGUGUUGUUCAUAAAAAUAUAGUUUUAUUCAUGUAGGAUGAAAAAUCAUAAAGUUAUAAAAAUGCAUAAAAAAGUAUAAGUUUUAGCUUGGAGAUAAUUGAGUAGAUACAGUAAGAAACUCAAUUAUCUCCCAAGCAGAGGGGAGGGAAUCUGUGGGUUGUAACCAUUGUCUGAUUGGUUAAUGUCUAAUUGCCUCUG